AACGAACGCUGGCGGCGUGCCUAACACAUGCAAGUCGAGCGAAGUGAGUACUACGGUACGAACUUAGCGGCGGACGGGUGAGUAACGCGUGGACAAUCUACCCUGUAGACUGGGAUAACACCUCGAAAGGGGUGCUAAUACCGGAUAACGUCGAGAAGCGGCAUCGCUUUUCGAAGAAAGGAGAGAAUCCGCUAUAGGAGGAGUCCGCGUCCCAUUAGCUGGUUGGUGAGGGUAACGGCCCACCAAGGCGACGAUGGGUAGCCGGCCUGAGAGGGUGAACGGCCACACUGGAACUGAGACACGGUCCAGACUCCUACGGGAGGCAGCAGUGGGGAAUAUUGUGCAAUGGGGGAAACCCUGACACAGCAACGCCGCGUGAGCGAAGAAGGCCUUCGGGUUGUAAAGCUCAAUAGUAUGGGAAGAUAAUGACGGUACCAUACGAAAGCCCCGGCUAACUACGUGCCAGCAGCCGCAGUAAAAC
rnacentral:rRNA from 1 species